rnacentral:misc_RNA from 1 species
AUUUUCCCACUCACUCGGAAUCAUCUCGAUCUCGUAUUCUCUCUAGGGUUCCGUCAAUCUUGAUCUGAAAAAUGGCAUCUCCGGCAGUAGUUUCGGCGCCGCGCUCCGCUGCUUCGUCGUCCAAAACUGAGACCUUUGUGGACAACAAGCGGAAAGAUGAUAUCCGCAUGGCGAAUAUCGCGGCCGCGCAGGCUGUGGCUAACGCUGUUCGUACUAGUCUUGGCCCCAAAGGUAUGGACAAAAUGAUCUCUACUGCAAACGGAGAGGUCAUUAUCACAAACGAUGGAGCUACUAUUCUUAACAAAAUGGAGGUUCUUCAACCCGCUGCUAAGUUUCUCGUUGAGUUAUCUAAGUCUCAAGAUGUUGUUGCCGGAGAUGGAACCACCACCGUUGUUGUUAUUGCCGGUGCAUUGCUCAAACAGUGUCUUUCACUUCUCUCCUCUGGUAUUCACCCCACUGUCGUUUCCGAUUCUCUGCAUAAGGCAUCUACAAAGGCUGUUGAAGUUCUCACUGCCAUGGCUCUUCCUGUUGAGCUCACUGACCGUGAUUCGCUUGUGAAAUCAGCUAGCACUGCGCUUAACAGCAAGGUAGUGUCGCAAUACUCCACUCUUUUGGCUCCUUUAGCUGUUGAUUCUGUGCUUUCUGUUGUUGACCCUGAAAAACCAGAGAUUGUCGAUCUAAGGGAUAUUAGAAUUGUCAAGAAAUUGGGAGGUACUGUUGAUGAUACCGAGUUGGUUAAAGGCUUAGUUUUUGACAAGAAGGUGAGUCAUGCCUCAGGUGGUCUCACACGAGUUGAAAAAGCUAAGAUUGGGGUGAUUCAGUUUCAAAUUUCCCCUCCCAAGACUGAUAUUGAGCAGAGCAUUGUGGUUUCUGAU